GCCGGGCGUGGUGGUGCGUGCCUGUAGUCCCAGCUACUCGGGAGGCUGAGGUGGGGGGAUCGCUUGAGCCCAGGAGUUCUGGGCUGUAGUGUGCUGUGCCGAUCGGGUGUCCACACUAAGUUCAGCAUCAAUAUAGUGACCUCCCGGGAGCAGGGGACCACCAGGUUGCCUAAGGAGGGGUGAGCCAGCCCAGGUCAGAAACAGAGCAGGUCAAAACUCCCGUGCUGAUCAGAAGUGGGAUCGCGCCUGUGAAUAGCCACUGCGCUCCAGCCUGGGCAACACAGCAAGACCCCGUCUCU
rnacentral:SRP_RNA from 1 species